rnacentral:rRNA from 1 species
CCUACGGGAGGCAGCAGUGAGGAAUAUUGGUCAAUGGACGAGAGUCUGAACCAGCCAAGUCGCGUGAAGGAUGACUGCCCUAUGGGUUGUAAACUUCUUUUAUCUGGGAAUAAAACGUUCCACGUGUGGCCUUUUGUGUGUACCUUAUGAAUAAGCAUCGGCUAACUCCGUGCCAGCAGCCGCGGUAAUACGGAGGAUCCGAGCGUUAUCCGGAUUUAUUGGGUUUAAAGGGUGCGUAGGCGGAGUGUUACGUCAGUUGUGAAAGGUUGCGGCUCAACCGUAAGAUUGCAGUUGAAACUGGCAGUCUUGAGAAGAGGAGAGGUGGGCGGAAUGCGUGGUGUAGCGGUGAAAUGCUUAGAUAUCGCGAAGAACUCCGAUUGCGAAGGCAGUUCACUGGACGGCAACUGACGCUGAGGCUCGAAAGCGUGGGUAUCGAACAGGAUUAGAUACCCGAGUAGUC